GGAAUUGACGGGGCCCGCACAAGCGUGGAGCAUGUGGUUUAAUUCGAAGCAACGCGAAGAACCUUACCAGGUCUUGACAUCCCGAUGCUAUUUCUAGAGAUAGAAAGUUACUUCGGUACAUCGGUGACAGGUGGUGCAUGGUUGUCGUCAGCUCGUGUCGUGAGAUGUUGGGUUAAGUCCCGCAACGAGCGCAACCCCUAUUGUUAGUUGCCAUCAUUCAGUUGGGCACUCUAGCGAGACUGCCGGUAAUAAACCGGAGGAAGUGGGAUGACGUCAAAUCAUCAUGCCCCUUAUGACCUGGGCUACACACGUGCUACAAUGGUUGGUACAACGAGUUGCGAGUCGGUGACGGCGAGCUAAUCUCUUAAAGCCAAUCUCAGUUCGGAUUGUAGGCUGCAACUCGCCUACAUGAAGUCGGAAUCGCUAGUAAUCGCGGAUCAGCACGCCGCGGUGAAUACGUUCCCGGGCCUU
rnacentral:rRNA from 1 species